UGGGGAAUAUUGCACAAUGGGCGGAAGCCUGAUGCAGCGACGCCGCGUGAGGGAUGACGGCCUUCGGGUUGUAAACCUCUUUCAGUAGGGAAGAAGCGAAAGUGACGGUACCUGCAGAAGAAGCGCCGGCUAACUACGUGCCAGCAGCCGCGGUAAUACGUAGGGCGCAAGCGUUAUCCGGAUUUAUUGGGCGUAAAGAGCUCGUAGGCGGUUUGUCGCGUCUGCCGUGAAAGUCCGAGGCUCAACCUCGGAUCUGCGGUGGGUACGGGCAGACUAGAGUGAUGUAGGGGAGACUGGAAUUCCUGGUGUAGCGGUGAAAUGCGCAGAUAUCAGGAGGAACACCGAUGGCGAAGGCAGGUCUCUGGGCAUUUACUGACGCUGAGGAGCGAAAGCAUGGGGAGCGAACA
rnacentral:rRNA from 2 species